GGUGCUUAAAAACGUUUUCUAUAAAAAUAUUUCCUUUAUAAAUAGGCUUGUGAAUUGUCUUUAUGUACUUGGUGUGUAAGAAACAUUAGUUAUUACAAUAUGAAUUCAAUUACAACUACCUUAUAUGCUGCUGUCAUGGCUGCUUUAAUAGCAAUCUCUUCUGCUCAACUCCAAUCUGUUGAACAGGGAGAUACUAUACUUGAUGAUGUUGCUGGUGCCAUUAACGCUCUUCUCUAAAGGUUAGAGAACAGAAUAUCAAAAAAAUACUACUUUUUUGAAGAAAUGAAGAUUAAAAAGAAACAGUUAUAAAA
rnacentral:lncRNA from 1 species